UACGGGGGGGGCAAGCGUUGUUCGGAAUUACUGGGCGUAAAGGGCUCGUAGGCGGCCAACUAAGUCGGAUGUGAAAUCCCCAAGCUUAACUUGGGAACUGCAUCCGAUACUGGAUGGCUUGAAUCCGGGAGAGGGAUGCAGAAUUCCAGGUGUAGCGGUGAAAUGCGUAGAUAUCAAGCGGAACACCGGUGGCGAAGGCGGCCUUCUGGACAGUGACUGACGCUGAGACGCGAAAGCGUGGGGAGCAAACAGG
rnacentral:rRNA from 1 species